UACAUUAAUAUUGUUCGGAAA
ensembl:piRNA 21ur-1415 ncRNA